GUAUCAAUCAUGAGUCCCCUUUCAAAACAUUCCUUGGAAAAGCUGAACAAAAUGAGUGAAACUCAUUACUGUCUCACUUAUCUGAUAUUAGGUCC
ensembl:snoRNA SNORD116 Small nucleolar RNA SNORD116